UACGGAGGGUGCAAGCGUUAUCCGGAUUCACUGGGUUUAAAGGGUGCGUAGGCGGGCAGGUAAGUCAGUGGUGAAAUCUCCGGGCUUAACCCGGAAACUGCCGUUGAUACUAUUUGUCUUGAAUACCGUGGAGGUGAGCGGAAUAUGUCAUGUAGCGGUGAAAUGCUUAGAUAUGACAUAGAACACCAAUUGCGAAGGCAGCUCACUACACGGUCAUUGACUCUGAGGCACGAAAGCGUGGGGAUCAAACAGG
rnacentral:rRNA from 1 species